rnacentral:lncRNA from 1 species
CGCGUAGUCAGCUAUAAAAGGCCCCGAUAAGACAAUGUAAAACAAUUCAAACGAGAAAACUAACGGCCUUAUUUAUGUUUAAAAAAUGAACGAAAAACAAAUUUGUAACACUUGAACAAACGACAACCACUGAAUUACAGGCUCCUGACUUGGGACGGGCAUAUACAUAAAUAAUGUGGAAAUUAUAUAUACAGCCCUUGGAUGGUGUUAACUUUCCAAAAAAUUGUAUAGUGUACUGGUGUAAUGGUGUAAUGGUGUAAGGUGUAUGGUGCUGUGGUGUAUGGUGCUGUGGUGUAUGGUGUAAGGGGAAUGGUGUAAUGGUGUUUGAGGAAUGGUGUGAUUGUGUAACUAGCGAUCGGGAAUGGUGUGAAUGAUGGUGUACGACAUCUCAUUGGUUGAAACGAAUUUCUUUUUAUUUUAUUUUUUCGAGUUGUAAACAUACUCAAUAAUAAUAAUCUUAAUAUUUGAAAUUUAAUUGCAUUAUGGGUAAUUUCGGAUCGUGUAGAUAGAAUGGGGAAUGGUGCAUGGUGUAAUGUGUAAGGUGUAUGGUGCAAAGGUGUAAC